GGGGAUUUAGCUCAGUGGUUCCAGUGCCUGCCUUGCAAGCAGAAGGUCCCGAGUUUGAUCCUCGGUACCA
rnacentral:tRNA from 1 species